rnacentral:rRNA from 1 species
UACAGAGGGUGCGAGCGUUGUCCGGAAUCAUUGGGCGUAAAGGGCGCGUAGGCGGCGGGGUAAGUCGGGUGUGAAAUCUCAGAGCUCAACUCUGAAAUGGCACUUGAUACUGCUCUGCUAGAGGACUGGAGAGGAGAUUGGAAUUCACGGUGUAGCAGUGAAAUGCGUAGAGAUCAUGAGGAAGACCAGUGGCGAAGGCGGGUCUCUGGACAGUUCCUGACACUGAGACACGAAGGCCAGGGGAGCAAACGGG